CUCUCACAUACUCUCACAGGAAAGAAGAAAUGACAAAAAUAAUGAAGUGAUGGACACCUAACGUUCUGUAUCAAUAUAUAUUUUUUUUUCUUCUUCCUUUCUCUGUAACAUAUCUUCCCCCAAAAUCUUACCUCUUAUCAAGCUAACCUGUCCCCAAAGCUUUUGUAACGAUGUCUUCUCUUUCGCCUAUGUAUAUAUGUAUUUUUUAAAAUUCUCUUUCCUAUGUCAAUUGAGAUGAUGGGUGGUUUCAGGAAAUGAUUCCUUUGUUGUCCAUGUCAACUUCCUG
rnacentral:lncRNA from 1 species